GGCCAAUUUGGUAGUGUAGCAGACAGACACACAUGACUCUGGAUGAUGAGGUCCCAGGUUCGAAUCCUGGUCUAGUCA
rnacentral:tRNA from 1 species